rnacentral:lncRNA from 1 species
GUGGAAGAGAGCGAUCCCCCGGCGAUCAAGCGGCCGCACUGGCUGAUAAUGCGAUCGGUCUCCACCGGCUCCUUUUUCACUUCAAACUUCAUCAGAUCGAAGUCAUUAACAUAUUCCAUGGCCAGGGGACUGGUGGGCAGGUCGGAGCCGCUCAUUGCCAGUUCUGAUGCCAUCCUUUUGCUGCUGACAGUCCUCCAGAAAGGGUGCGCUCCGGGAGCGAGGGCGCUGCUCUGCGCUGCCGCCGGAGCGACGAGAGAGGUUCAUCGGGGGAAGGAGGAGGGAGAAGAGACCGAAGACAAAAAAAAAAAAAAAAUCAAAUCAAAGUCGAUAUAUCGCAACCAAAAUAACAACAAUCAUAAAAAAAAAGGGGGGGGAGAGGGAAAAAAAAAAAAAACAACAACCAACAAACCCUCAACCCCACAGCUACGGCAAGAAGAUGAAAAAUAUUUUAAAGCUUUCAUCCAGCAGGAGAGUUUAAAAGCAUUGCAGAGUUUUAUAGCGCUCCUGACGUCACCCUCCAAAUGGCAAAUGGACACCGCGGCCGGACCAAUGGGCGGCUCCCUCCCAGCGAAUAUUAGCAUAGAACAAGGAAACUUUUGGGAGCUGUCAAUCAGGGCCCCAUCAGCUGACUGUCAGCUGGGCGCGCCUUAACCCCUUCCUGCCCGCCGCCUCCGCCGGACGCACCGGGUAAGCGGCUGCGGGUGGGGACCGCUCCGUCGCGUCGGGACAGCGCCCGCCGAGCGCCGCCGUCGGGUGUCUUUUUUAUUAAGUGGAGCACCAGCAUAUGUACCACGCAUCCCGAUUUGCUGGUGGUGCUGCGGUGUCGGAGCAGAGGGAACAGAAGCAGCGGCAAACAAACGCCAUCGAUUAAUAUCUGUUUUUGCAUCGGUGUUGCCGAAUCCAUCAUUUCCACUGCUUGCUUAUCGUGUUUCUGAAACACUCAGAAUAUCCCAAAUAAGCCCGUGUGAUCCAGAAGGAACUUCUCUCUCGGGCUGGAGGUUGGUGCCACCAGGUUUGUGCUGCGCUCACCCUAUGAUGCAUGUCCCACUUUACUCGUCUCCAUGAAUGGUUCAGCCUGGAUGUGAAAAUCAAUACAGACGUCCCUGAUGCCAAAAACCUAUUUGUCUAAAAGAUAUAAAAAGUGAAAUUGCAAUAAAGAUUUUUAUCGGGCUUUAUGGUGGAAUUCGUCAUUUAUAACUGGGAUGAUGAUGUUGGGUUAUAUAACGUGUUCGCUCUCAAAUUAGCUGAUGUGAGUAAAUAGAGGUAAUCUGGUAAAAUCUGGUGCCCAGGUUGAUCUCUGCAGAAAGCUACAGUUAAAGGAGGAGAAGAAAACAGUCACAUCAAUAUCACACCACUGAGCUGUCCCAGCAAAGCCCUGUGAUACGCACGAGGCGUUGGUAUCUAUUUUAGCUCUGGAAAAUCCUUGCUGCUUCUCUCCCUUCUGCUCUGCACUGAGUUGUUUCGGCAGCAAGGAGCAGUGGCAGCAUGAAAUAAUAUGUGAAUUUUAUGUGCUCUCUCUUCCUCAAAGCUGCCUACCAGUGAGUGGCGAGGGGGGCACGAUACGGAGGUGGUGUUUUGAUGUGUGACUGCGAAGGGUGAGACGGCCAUUAUUAAGAGUGAUCGACUUCAGUGACUUUUAAACAAAGCUGUGAUUUAAUGUCUUAAAGCCCGAGAUGGCACAGACUUGUCGUUAGUUGGCGUGGUGGGCUGAGUGCCAUGCACUGGGCUUAUCUCGUGUGAGUAAAGCAUAGAAAUGUGUGGGGUAAGUGAUGGGGUCUUCGGCAGCACAAGGCUCUUGGCUUGCGUGGCCUUAUGGCAGAGGGGGGCUGUGCCAACGGGAGCACAUAAGGAUCUCACGUUACCUCCAACCUUCAAUUAUCGUGCUGAAUCUGGCCUAACCUGCUUAUCUCCUGAGAAUUACUCACUGGGUUUUGGCAGGAGGAGGUGUCAAUGAAAAUGAGACAGUUCUGGAGCCAGCAUCGCUGCCAGCAGCCAGGGCUUAAUUCUGGGCAGAGCUGGGGACAGUGUGUUCCUCUCCCUGCCAUGGCUCCAGCUGCUCCCAUCCCCAGCCCUCUCCACCAGGUGAGCUCUUCCCCAUCCCAUUCCCAUUCCUGUUCCUGGCUCCCAGCUCUAGUCUCCAUGUUGGAAGCCCAGUGGCUGGAGCUGUCUUCUUGACUAUGGAGAUGUAGCAGCAUCUGUCAGAAAAUACAUGUGAAAGCAGCCCGGGUGCCAGCAAAUAGGAGCUGUAGCUUUCUAAGCAGCUACAUCUGAUUUGGUUUCAUACAUUUAACUUCGCCUUUUUUUUCUCCCACUAUUGGCAAAUGUGUUAUUCUCGCACAGAACUGAGAACAACCUGCAUUUCCCAGGAUUGCUUUACGAAGUCUUGGUGCAGAGAAGUGCAUGUUGUGAUGACAUCUGACGUCGUCCAGUGGCAUUCAUUGUCCACACCAAGCAGGAAUGGAAAGUUUCACGCCCCCUUCCCCUCCUGCUCCCCAGCAUUAGCUCACCAUUGUGGCGGGGCUGGGCAAACCACUUUGCAUUGGCCUCCAUCCGGAGUCCGGGUCAUGGGGAAAUGCUAAUCCUUAACAAAAAAGGAAAUGAUAAAAAUACCCAUGAAAUUAAUUUCCACACCUGCAGUCGAGAUUAAUAACAGCAACCGGAGUGGCAUCCCAUUUCAGUUCCCUGGAGGUGACUGACAGCCC